CUACGGGAUGCUCCAGUGAGGAAUUUUGCGCAAUGGGGGCAACCCUGACGCAGCAACGCCGCGUGAGUGAAGAAGGCCUUUGGGUCGUAAAGCUCUGUCAACAGGGAAGAAGUUAUAAUUAUUUAAUAGAUAGUUGUAUUGACGGUACCUGUGGAGGAAGCGCCGGCUAACUCCGUGCCAGCAGCCGCGGUAACACGGGGGGCGCAAGCGUUAUUCGGAAUUAUUGGGCGUAAAGGGCGCGCAGGCGGUCUUGUCCGUCAGGUGUGAAAGCUCGGGGCUCAACCCCGGAAGUGCACUUGAAACAGCAAGACUUGAAUACGGGAGAGGAGAGAGGAAUUCCUGGUGUAGAGGUGAAAUUCGUAGAUAUCAGGAGGAACACCGAUGGCGAAGGCAUCUCUCUGGACCGAUAUUGACGCUGAGGCGCGAAGGCGUGGGUAGCGAACGGGAUUAGAUACCCGAGUAGUC
rnacentral:rRNA from 1 species